UACGGGGGGGGCAAGCGUUGUUCGGAAUUACUGGGCGUAAAGGGUUUGUAGGUGGCCCGCUAAGUCACACGUGAAAUCCCUCAGCUUAACUGGGGAACUGCGUGUGAGACUGGCAGGCUCGAGGGCAGGAGAGGAACGCGGAAUUCCAGGUGUAGCGGUGAAAUGCGUAGAUAUCUGGAGGAACACCAAUAGCGAAGGCAGCUCGCUGGGACGGUAUUGACGCUAAGGCGCGAAAGCGUGGGGAGCAAACAGG
rnacentral:rRNA from 1 species